rnacentral:piRNA from 1 species
UGGAUUGGCCAAUUGCGGACA